rnacentral:sRNA from 1 species
AGAAAAGUAGGUGCCGCCCCGCACAGGGGCGACGCAUGAAGCGAGACGACAAAGCAGGUUCAACGAGAGCGCCCGAAUGACCGUAUCCGAUCAUCGAGCGCUAGCGACAC